UAAUCAAAACUGGAAUUAAAAAUGAAUAAAUUAAGUAAGGAUUAAUCAUGAUUAACGGGGGAUUAAUAUGAACAUGGAGCAUGGGGGUGGGUUUAACAGAUGGAGGUGUAGGAGAUGAAUGUUUGUUUGCUUGGGCCAAAGGCCUAAGUCUUGCCAAAAAUAUCCAAGGACGGGUUCAACAUGAAUGUCCAGAAGUCGCCCUUCACGUUAAACCACACACGCUCAGCCACACAUCAUCCACGGCCAAAGGCGACAUGUGACAGAGGAUCUAGUGCACAACCAUGGAGAAACAAAGAAACAAUAACGUCAACAACCUCUUACGACGAAUUCAAGAACAUACCUCGAAUCGAAUCUCAACCAAUUGAAGAAUGGACAACAUACCGGGUUCGUGCGUUGUUGAUGUUCGUCGUUGUGCGUUUCAUCGAUAAAGAAGACGAUGAAGAUGAAGAGUGGAGCUCUUCUCGAUUUGUUCUUCAUGGCCCUGAAGUUUUUGCUGGUUGAGUGAAGUCCGAAUGUUGGUUAGAGAAACGGCUCUGUUAUGAAUGGCCAUGAUGAAAUUCUGUUACUUCACUUUUGAGCUUCUUCGACAAUGUUCUUGCGAGGUUCUCGUUGGAAUUCUUUUGAAGGUGAAAUUGGUAGUAGUCUUAUGUGUAGGAUCAGGGGUAGCACCACAUUUAUCUCCAUUAAACUGUGAUACUCUAAGACCUAUUAAUCUUACUAAAACAGGAAGUUCAACUUUCAGCAACUUUGAUGCAUGCUUCAGAAUAUCCUCACUUGAGUUGAUGUUGGCAGGGUAUUGAAGCUAGAGUAGAAUUUGGAAGGUCGAGUGAAGGAGAAAAAUUCAGUUCUGCGCAUGAUUGUUUUGAAGUUAUCCUAUUUCUCUAACUUGGAGUAUACAUGUCUUAUUGUGGUGAGUUAGAAAUGUCUGAAUGUUGUUUCAUUUGAUUUUGCAGGUUAUUGUGAUUUUGGAAUUGAUGAUCACGGUGUCUUCAUUGGCUUUCUUGGUGGAAAUAUGCUUUGGCCAUGGAUUUAUUGAUAUGGUUUUUGUAGGAUGAAAUGUAAUAAGACUUGGAAAUUGUAAUGUAAUUGAUGUAAUGGUUUAUGUAUGGCUAAAGGGAAUGAUAAAAAUGGUUUAUUAGGAAAUCGAUUGUAUGGUUAAGAUUGAAAUAUUGUAAUGGAAACUUUUGAGUGUAAGAAAAAUAUUUGUGUAUGGAAUGACAUGGUUUAUGGAAUA